rnacentral:rRNA from 1 species
UACGAAGGGGGCUAGCGUUGCUCGGAAUCACUGGGCGUAAAGGGCGCGUAGGCGGCGUUUUUAAGUCGGGGGUGAAAGCCUGUGGCUCAACCACAGAAUGGCCUUCGAUACUGGGACGCUUGAGUAUGGUAGAGGUUGGUGGAACUGCGAGUGUAGAGGUGAAAUUCGUAGAUAUUCGCAAGAACACCGGUGGCGAAGGCGGCCAACUGGACCACUACUGACGCUGAGGCGCGAAAGCGUGGGGAGCAAACAGGG